AAGAAGAGAGACGGGAGAAUCGAAGAGAAGGAGAGAAGAGAAAAUAGAGAGAACUGUGGAGCUGAAGUAAAGUUAAGAAGUAAUGACAUUUUGGUAGAUAGUUUGCUGAAUGUUUCAGUAACAGAAGAAGCUGUAGCUGAGGACAGUAAUUUGGACACAGUGGAUUAGGACGCUUGAGUUUUGCCAGAGUGACUGUGCUAACUGAGCUAAAGCAAGCGAGCUGCUAGCCAAGAGGACGCCAUUGCUGAACGGGAAGGACUGUUUCGCGCUUCCUGAGGAGGACUUUGCUUCUGCUGCCGUUGGCUUUCUUCUCCAUCUCUUCAUGAACUGUUUCUCCAGGACUUAUUCCAGACCAUGCAGAGUUGGUGAUUGUUGGAACAGCGGAAGGAGUAAAAAAGGCUAUUUUGAGCUGAAGGCCGACGGUGGUGGUGGUGAUCCCUUGUGUGUGCGUGACCCUCGUUCAAGAUUGUCUUUGUGUGCACGUCAUGUUUUUGCUGUGUGAGUGGGGACGUCACUUUCCCCUGUCGGCCCCUCUUCCAGCCGGUGAGCCUCAGCCUGUACCACCUUCCUUCCCCACUUGGGCUCCCUUGUGCCAAA